rnacentral:lncRNA from 1 species
UCGACGAGUCACUGAUGCUGCAGUCAGAACGACAGUUAAAUCCUAGGGACACCACAUAUAAUCUAACAAGUGGAAAUGAUCAAAUGGAUAGAUCUAACGGUCGAAAAUUUAUAAGUACAAAGAGGAUUAUACUAAAUACUAAAAAGUAGGGGCAAUUGCUUAUAUACUCCUGAAAAGUUUCCGACUUUCUGAUUUACCCCUCUUAGAAGGCUAAUAUUGAAAAUACCUUUUUUACGUUUCAACCUAUUUCAAAUAUACCCCUAGAGUUAAAAUCUGUUAAUUAAUUCUGUUAUCUGUAUAAAAUUAUUAUUUUGCCCUUUUCAAAUAUACCCUUCCACCAUCACCAACUUUUCUUAUUUCCUCUUAAGUCAGGGGCACAAAAAGUAUUUUGACUUUUGAUCUUUUCAAAUAUACCCCCUCUACCAUCGCCAGUAUUUUUUAUUUGCCCUUAAGUUAAGGGCAAAAUUGGCAUUUUAUUUUUUUUUUACUGUGGUAGAUAUUGAACUCACGUUUAAUCUAAGUUAACUUAACAAGGGAUAACCGCGCGGGUAUUUUGCAAUAACGGUAUAACAUAUGAGGGGUAUUUUAGAAAGAAAAAAAAAUAAGGAUAAAUCAGAUAUUUUCAAAUGUAUGAGGGGUAUAUAGGCAAUUAUCCCUAAAAAGUAUAGUAGCCGGACUCCUAUAAAUUGCACGUUGGGCUCUCAAAUUAUGAAAUAACUAAUAAUUUGAUUCUGAAAAUAUAAUUUAUUAUAAUAUUUUAUUUAAAUUUUUAAAAUUACUGUAAUUAUUAAGUCCUAAAAUCUAAGUUAUCUUAAACUCAUCACACAUAAAUUUCAAACCCAAAAUAUAAUUUAAAUUCAAAAAAUUAAAUUGAAAAUCUUGCAACCAAU